GUCAAAUAAGAAAACAAGUUCAAACUACAGAACUUGAACCAUCAGCACCGGCAGAUAACUCAGUUCCUUCAUCAGUUGAGAUCAGCGAUUAUAAAGCCCCAUACGUAGUUGCAAAUAUUAUAAAUACCGGAG